GCGGUAGUUGUAUAGUGGUUAGUAUGCGGCCUUGCCAAGGCUGCGACCGGGGUUCGAAUCCCCGCUACCGCA
rnacentral:tRNA from 1 species